AUGCUGGAGUCCUAUGUUUCUCCUCUCUUGAUGAGUUAUGUGAACCGCUACAUAAAGAACCUGAAGACGUCGGAUCUGCAGCUGUCAAUAUGGGGACUGAGACUGGACGUGCUGGAGCAGGAGCUUUACUGCAUUUUAAAAUAUGGCGGCACUUCUGGUUUUGGGAUCUGCCACCCAGGAGGACUGAAACAAAUCAUUCAGACUGAACGAUCUGAACAUUUUCCAUCAUGCUGUAUUUUUAUUCUUCGGAAAAUAAUGUACUGCUUGGUAUUUAAUGUGACUUUAGUCUCACCAGAAUAUAUGUGACAUCUGUUAUAUCUCCUGAGAUUUCAUUCAUAGUUUGCUGAAAGUAGUUUGUUCAUACUUCUACACGUGAUGAGAAUAAUGUCACGUCUUUAUACUUAGUUUUUGAAAAUGUUUAUCAUGGCAUUUAUAGAGUGAACCUUUAAAUUUUCUGGUAGUUACUGAUUGUUUACAGUUUGACGGAUGUUACUCCCAUAAUUUGCACAACUGUAGGAAAAUGGUGGAUAUGUAAAACGGUAUUUUGGAAACAAUUGAUUUCCCUAAGCCCCGCCUCCCCUUGUUACUGUUGAUAUUGAUGAAAUGAAAUGAAAUGAUUAAAUGAUGCAGUUACAUGAUUAAAUCUGUGAGAGCGUGAAUCAGAAUCGAGUUAAAUGCUUCUCGCAAGGAAACAAGGAAAAACAAGGAAAGUCUGAUUUGACAGCAGUUACAGCUGAUAACAUGAGUGUGAGGAACAGUUUUGUUCAGGUUACUUUCAAACUACACUUGCCUCGUUCAGUGACUCUCAUUUACGCUUCAGCAGAUGAAUAUGCUCUUACAGAUGUGUUCUUUGGAAAUGAGGGUGACACAAAGAGUAAUACACAGCAUGAACAAGAUUUAUUUAAAUAAUUGGAAAAGGGAAAAUUCAGUGUCACUAGUAGAAGUGACCCAGCAACAACGUUUAACCUUAUUUUGUGAUCAUUUUUGUAAAAUUGCCUCGCAAACACGCAGAUCCUUCAUAAACAUACAUUUGAACAAGCAAAAGCUUGGAAAGUUGCUUAGUCAGUAGCAAAGGGUCAGCUGAUUCUGAAAUAUUUCUGCAUCAAUUUACAAAAAAAAAAUCAUAAUCAGAAUGAACUUUAAUCUGCUUCUGACAUUUAGUGUAACUCGACCCCUAACAGUUAGCAUCAGCAGUGACUGUGUGCAGGGUCUUGAACACAGCCGACAUCUUGUAUUACAUUACAUUGUAGCUUGUACAACAUAAGUUUACACAUUUGUAAAUGUUACUUAUCAAGUAACUUCAUCUCGAUUUGCACAUUGUUAAUGUAACAGCUCCUAUUAUUAUUAUGUAGUUGCACUCAAUUUGCUACAGGCUACUGUACUAUUGUUUUGAACAUAAGUCAAUAUUGCACACUCGCACAUAGAGAUAUACUACAUAUUACUGCUACAUGUGAACACGUUACCAUUACUACAUGUUACUAUGCUAUUGUUUUGCACAAGUCAAAUUGCACACUCGCACAACAGAUGUACAUAGUCUAUAUUUCUAUACACAUAAUCUAUAUUUCUACUUCUGCAACAUAGCUAUAUUUUAUGUUUGUUGUAUGUGUAUGUCUGUUUUCAUGUCUGUUAUCUUUUUUGCAUAGUUUGCACUUGUCUUGGCAUUCAAUGUGGACAGCAAAGAAAGAAUUUCAUUGUACAGGGAAACUUGUUUUCCUCACUGUGCACAUGACAAUAAACGCUUUGAAUCAUUGAAUCUUAUAAAAAAA
ensembl:lncRNA